rnacentral:rRNA from 1 species
UACGGAGGGAGCUAGCGUUGUUCGGAUAUACUGGGCGUAAAGCGCACGUAGGCGGCGCCGUAAGUCAGGGGUGAAAUCCCGGAGCUCAACUCCGGAACUGCCCUUGAAACGGCAGUGCUAGAAUCCUGGAGAGGCGAGUGGAAUUCCGAGUGUAGAGGUGAAAUUCGUAGAUAUUCGGAAGAACACCAGUGGCGAAGGCGACUCGCUGGACAGGUAUUGACGCUGAGGUGCGAAAGCGUGGGGAGCAAACAGG